GGUUAUUACAAAAUGUUGAGUAGAAUUCCCUGUGCCAUAUGGUUCAGCUACAGCACAAGAUCUGUGGGCAGAUGUCAAACGUGCCAGGCUCUUCUGAAAUGUAGGAAAACACUUCGAUACACAACGCUCUCUGGUGUGACAGAUCUUGGCACGAGUAAUUCCAAACCUCAGAGCUCUCUCAUCAUCCAGCCCCAAGCAAUUACACAAGCACUUGCAAUCCUGGCGGAGUUAGGAGUGUGGAUGUGAGUGAAGCAGACAAGGAGGAAACAGACGGUGACAUCUGGAGAGGAGCUCGGCCAGGCCCCGGGUCGCCUGCCUCCAGCGCCUCCCCUUCCUCUGUCCCUGCGGUCCCCCAUCAGCUCACGAUGUCACAGGACCAUCUCCCUGGACUGCCCAGGGCUCUGUCCUCAGUCAGCCUCCAGCCCCUCCAGGCAGGCGACACCCGGGAUGUCACCUCGGUCAUUUUCCCGAGCUCCGUGCCUAAGCGUGGAUCUGACCUUGUAUCCUCUGAAAAUGGUCUUAUGUGUAAACUCUUAAAUAAUCUUUUAAAAU